GCGGGAACCGCGAUAAGGGAAUCUCGAGUGCCAGCAUAUAAUGUUGGCUGUCCAGAUGCCUAAAAAGCAUUUGUUAGCAAGGGCCGGGCAAGACCGGUGCCAGCCGCCGCGGUAACACCGGCGGCCCGAGUGGUAACCGUUAUUAUUGGGUCUAAAGGGUCUGUAGCCGGCCGAAUAAGUCUCUUGGGAAAUCUGGCAGCUUAACUGUCAGGCAGUCAGGGGAUACUGUUCGGCUUGGGACCGGGAGAGGUGAGAGGUACCUCGGGGGUAGGGGUGAAAUCUUGUGAUCCUCGAGGGACCACCAGUGGCGAAGGCGUCUCACCAGAACGGGUCCGACGGUAAGGGACGAAAGCUAGGGGCACGAACCGGAUUAGAUACCCGGGUAGUCCUAGCCGUAAACGAUGCUUGCUAGGUGUCAGCCACGGUGCGACCGUGGUUGGUGCCGUAGGGAAGCCGUGAAGCGAGCCACCUGGGAAGUACGGCCGCAAGGCUGAAACUUAAAGGAAUUGGCGGGGGAGCACUACAACGGGUGGAGCCUGCGGUUUAAUUGGAUUUCCAACGCCGGAAA
rnacentral:rRNA from 1 species